AUUGAACGCUGGCGGCAGGCUUAACACAUGCAAGUCGAGCGGGGGAAGGUAGCUUGCUACCGGACCUAGCGGCGGACGGGUGAGUAAUGCUUAGGAAUCUGCCUAUUAGUGGGGGACAACAUCUCGAAAGGGAUGCUAAUACCGCAUACGUCCUACGUGAGAAAGCAGUGGAUCUUCGGACCUUGCGCCAAUAGAUGAGCCUAAGUCGGAUUAGCUAGUUGGUGGGGUAAAGGCCCACCAAGUCGACGAUUUGUAGCGGGGCUGAGAGGAUGAUCCGCCACACUGGGACUGAGACACGGCCCAGACUCCUACGGGAGGCAGCAGUGGGGAAUAUUAGACAAUGGGGGGAACCCUGAUCCAGCCAUGCCGCGUGUGUGAAGAAGGCCUUAUGGUUGUAAAGCACUUUAAGCGAGGAGGAGGCUACUCUAGUUAAUACCUAGGGAUAGUGGACGUUACUCGCAGAAUAAGCACCGGCUAACUCUGUGCCAGCCGCCGCGGUAA
rnacentral:rRNA from 1 species